rnacentral:rRNA from 1 species
GGGGCCUUUUAGGUUUUCUAAUCGGAAUGAGAAGAAUUUAAACCUCUCACCGAGGAUCCAUUGGAGGGCAAGUCUGGUGCCAGCAGCCGCGGUAAUUCCAGCUCCAAUAGCGUAUAUUAAAGUUGUUGCAGUUAAAACGCUCGUAGUCGGAUAUCGGGGCGCGGACACAGAAGCGGCUCCGGUUGCAGCUGUGAACGGUCUGCCCCUAAUUCUGGGACGCGGUGUGCGGGACUUUACUGUCUCUGCGCACCUGCGGGCCGGACGUUUACUGUGAAGAAAUUARGGUGUUCAAAGCAUGCGUUCGCUAUGGAUACGUGAGCAUGGAAUAAUAGAAUAGGACUUGGGCUCUAUUUUGUUGGUUUCCGGGGACCAAGUAAUGAUUAAUAGGGAUAGUUGGGGGCAUUCGCAUUUCAUUGUCAGAGGUGAAAUUCUUGGAUUGAUGGAAGACGGACUACUGCGAAAGCAUCUGCCAAGGAUGUUUUCUUUGAUCAAGAACGAAAGUUAGGGGAUCGAAGACGAUCAGAUACCGUCGUAGUCUUAACCAUAAACUAUGCCGACUGGAGAUUGGCGGGGAUUUGUUGUAUG